rnacentral:rRNA from 1 species
UAAAAACCCCGACUCCGGAAGGGGUGUAUUUAUUAGAUACAAAACCAAUGCCCUUCGGGGCUCUUUGGUGAUUCAUGAUAACUAUACGAAUCGCACGGCCUUGCGCCGGCGAUGGUUCAUUCAAAUUUCUUCCCUAUCAACUUUCGAUGUUUGGGUAUUGGCCAAACAUGGUUGCAACGGGUAACGGAGGGUUAGGGCUCGACCCCGGAGAAGGAGCCUGAGAAACGGCUACUACAUCCAAGGAAGGCAGCAGGCGCGCAAAUUACCCAAUCCCGACUCGGGGAGGUAGUGACAAUAAAUACUGAUACAGGGCCCUUUCGGGCCUUGUAAUUGGAAUGAGUACAAUUUAAAUCCCUUAACGAGGAACAAUUGGAGGGCAAGUCUGGUGCCAGCAGCCGCGGUAAUUCCAGCUCCAAUAGCGUAUAUUAAAGUUGUUGUGGUUAAAAAGCUCGUAGUUGAACCUUGGGCCUGGCUGGCCGGUCCGCCUCACCGCGUGCACUGGUCCGGCCGGGCCUUUCCCUCUGUGGAACCCCAUACCCUUCACUGGGCGUGGCGGGGAAACAGGACAUUUACUUU